GUAAUUCUAGAGCUAAUACAUGCUAAAAAUCCCGACUUCGGAAGGGAUGUAUUUAUUAGAUAAAAAACCAAUGCCCUCCGGGGCUCCUUGGUGAAUCAUAAUAACUUAACGAAUCGCAUGGCCUUGCGCCGGCGAUGGUUCAUUCAAAUUUCUGCCCUAUCAACUUUCGAUGGUAGGAUAGUGGCCUACCAUGGUCUCAACGGGUAACGGGGAAUUAGGGUUCGACUCCGGAGAGGGAGCCUGAGAAACGGCUACCACAUCCAAGGAAGGCAGCAGGCGCGCAAAUUACCCAAUCCCGACACGGGGAGGUAGUGACAAUAAAUACUGAUACAGGGCUCUUUCGGGUCUUGUAAUUGGAAUGAGUACAAUCUAAAUCCCUUAACGAGGAACAAUUGGAGGGCAAGUCUGGUGCCAGCAGCCGCGGUAAUUCCAGCUCCAAUAGCGUAUAUUAAAGUUGUUGCCGUUAAAAAGCUCGUAGUUGAACUUUGGUCCUGGCUGAUCUGUCCUCCUAAUCGAGCGCACGGAUUCGGUCGGGACUUUCCUUCUGGGGAGCCCGAUGCCCUUUACUGGGCGUCGUGGGGAACCAGGACUUUUACCUUGAAAAAAUUAGAGUGUUCAAAGCAGGCCUUUGCUCGAAUACAUUAGCAUGGAAUAAUAGAAUAGGACAUCGGUUCUAUUUUGUUGGUUUCUAGGACCGCUGUAAUGAUUAAUAGGGAUAGUCGGGGGCGUCAGUAUUCAAUUGUCAGAGGUGAAAUUCUUGGAUUUAUUGAAGACUAACUACUGCGAAAGCAUUCGCCAAGGAUGUUUUCAUUAAUCAGUGAACGAAAGUUAGGGGAUCGAAGACGAUUUAAGAACGGUUCGAGGGGGUCCACGCCCCGGAGAACUGGUAUUUGGUUGUCAAAAGUGAGCUCUGUUUUACUCGCUAGUCACGGACCCCGGAGGUGCUCGACACCGCCGGGGGCGUGGCGACACUGUCAAAUUGCGGGAACCCCCUAAAGCCUGAACUACCAAGCCGGUCUCGAAAGAGGUCGGUGGCCCGGUUAACGACCCGGGGUACGGUGACAACGUUCAGGAUGCCACAAUGGGCAAUCCGCAGCCAAGUCCUACGGGCCGGCUUCUGCCGGUCACGGAUGCAGUUCACAGGCCAAAUGGUAGUGGGUGAGGCCGCUGGCAUCAGCGGUCUUGCUUAAGAUAUGGUCGAAGCCCCGCGCGAGAGCCGGGGAGGUACUUGCAGAUACCGUCGUAGUCUUAACCAUAAACUAU
rnacentral:rRNA from 1 species